GACGAACGCUGGCGGCGUGCUUAACACAUGCAAGUCGAACGGAAAGGCCCUGCUUUUGUGGGGUGCUCGAGUGGCGAACGGGUGAGUAACACGUGAGUAACCUGCCCUUGACUUUGGGAUAACUUCAGGAAACUGGGGCUAAUACCGGAUAGGAGCUCCUGCUGCAUGGUGGGGGUUGGAAAGUUUCGGCGGUUGGGGAUGGACUCGCGGCUUAUCAGCUUGUUGGUGGGGUAGUGGCUUACCAAGGCUUUGACGGGUAGCCGGCCUGAGAGGGUGACCGGCCACAUUGGGACUGAGAUACGGCCCAGACUCCUACGGGAGGCAGCAGUGGGGAAUAUUGCACAAUGGGCGGAAGCCUGAUGCAGCAACGCCGCGUGCGGGAUGACGGCCUUCGGGUUGUAAACCGCUUUCGCCUGUGACGAAGCGUGAGUGACGGUAAUGGGUAAAGAAGCACCGGCUAACUACGUGCCAGCAGCCGCGGUGAUACGUAGGGUACGAGCGUUGUCCGGAUUUAUUGGGCGUAAAGGGCUCGUAGGUGGUUGAUCGCGUCGGAAGUGUAAUCUUGGGGCUUAACCCUGAGCGUGCUUUCGAUACGGGUUGACUUGAGGAAGGUAGGGGAGAAUGGAAUUCCUGGUGGAGCGGUGGAAUGCGCAGAUAUCAGGAGGAACACCAGUGGCGAAGGCGGUUCUCUGGGCCUUUCCUGACGCUGAGGAGCGAAAGCGUGGGGAGCGAACAGGCUUAGAUACCCUGGUAGUCCACGCUGUAAACGGUGGGUACUAGGUGUGGGGUCCAUUCCACGGGUUCCGUGCCGUAGCUAACGCUUUAAGUACCCCGCCUGGGGAGUACGGCCGCAAGGCUAAAACUCAAAGGAAUUGACGGGGCCCCGCACAAGCGGCGGAGCAUGCGGAUUAAUUCGAUGCAACGCGUAGAACCUUACCUGGGUUUGACAUGGAUCGGGAGUGCUCAGAGAUGGGUGUGCCUCUUUUGGGGUCGGUUCACAGGUGGUGCAUGGCUGUCGUCAGCUCGUGUCGUGAGAUGUUGGGUUAAGUCCCGCAACGAGCGCAACCCUUGUUCACUGUUGCCAGCACGUUAUGGUGGGGACUCAGUGGAGACCGCCGGGGUCAACUCGGAGGAAGGUGGGGAUGACGUCAAGUCAUCAUGCCCCUUAUGUCCAGGGCUUCACGCAUGCUACAAUGGCUGGUACAGAGAGUGGCGAGCCUGUGAGGGUGAGCGAAUCUCGGAAAGCCGGUCUCAGUUCGGAUUGGGGUCUGCAACUCGACCUCAUGAAGUCGGAGUCGCUAGUAAUCGCAGAUCAGCAACGCUGCGGUGAAUACGUUCCCGGGGCU
rnacentral:rRNA from 1 species